UCAUCUUGGAUCGCUGGCCUGGAAGAGUGCCCAGGAGCCAGAAGGAGUGACUAGGGGUCUAGUUGUGCUGGAAUGAACAAGGCCUCUGGGCUGUACUGUCCUGUUCAAAGUCCCUGGAUGACCAGCGAUGAGGCUAAAAUAAAUGGCUGAACACACUGUCCAAUGGAGAUGAGGACUUUAUCUUUCCAGGUGACCUUUUGAAACCAGGAAAUAGAAGCAGACCUGGUCAAGCACAAGAGGCCACAGGGAUGGUGCUGUGGAUGUUCUGGGACGUUGAGAGCAUCUGCUUCCAGAGGAGUGCUGGGUCCGGGUUUCAGAAGUUCCCGGCAGCACAUGAAGAUAAUUCCAGAGCAUCGUGAUGCUGUUGACAACUUUUUGUAUAUUCAAGUCUGGGUAUAGUUUUCCACACUUCUUGUUAUAAUUCUGCCCAUUAGUAAAAGUGGGAUAUCGUGGGGUGACCUUUGUGUCCACGUGCAUGUUGAUGUUGAGCUCCUGGGUGGUCAGCAGAGGCCUCACAGACCACACUGCAGACGUGUAACAAGGCAAGCAUUGGCCUCACAUGGUCCUUUUCUAGAACUAAACUC